AUGUCAUAUAGGAGCAAUAACCCUGAGAUCUCAUCGUUUGCUUCUAGUAAUCAUAUGCAGGGAUUUAGGUACAAUGAGGAGAGCCACAACUAUGCACCACAACAAUUCCAUUCAGCUCCUACUCAUAUACCACAGCACCAGGAGAUGUGUCCAAUGGAGUUAAAUGGUCCUCCAUUUGGUCAACCAACAACUCCAGCACCUGUUGUGCAAUCUCAUGUGCAAGUGCCCACACAAGAUGAGUUCGAUGACAUAGACAAGCUCACACUUUUGAGUCUCGAGUUGACUUGGAGUGCCGAGGAUGAUCCUAUUAGGAAGGUUAUACUAGAGGAAAUAAAGAAGAUUAAGAGUGGAAAGGAGCUAGUGGAAGAAGUAAGGAAGAUUGAGAAGAACAUCAACGCUGGCAGCACUAUUUCUUCACAACUUGAGUUGAGUGUGGCUGAGAUAUCCAUGGAUACAUGUGAGGUUCCAACACCUUCACAUUUCGUUGAGCAAGAUAGCAAGUGCCUUGAGCAAGAGAUACGUCAGAUUGUAGAAGAUGAACUAGAAGACAAGGAACAAGAUGGUCAAGAGCUGCAAUUCCCAAGUGAUCAAGUUGAAGACUCAUCAUCUAUUACUCCUGAAGAAGUACAAGAAGCUGCUGUAGAUGAAGAUGAAGAACAUGAGAUUCAUUGGCCUAUUAUCAUACAUGAGCAUGAUGUGUCAGGUUUACUCAAUCCUCUUGAUGACAUGAUGCCUUGUGAUUUCUUUGCUACUACCUUGCAUUACAUGAUACCAUCACUUAAGAUUGAUUUGAAAAAUCAUUUACUUGGAUAUGAUGAUAUAUACCCUGUUAGUGGCAUUACUCUCAUUUGUGAUGAUCAUAGUUACUUUCCUCGUGCUAGUCCUAUGCUAAAUGAAACAUAUCAUUCCCAUGCUAGUCUUGAGCUUAAUGAUAAAUAUCAUCCUCAUGUUAGUGUUGACCUUGCUGAUUUCUACCAUCCUAAACAUGUGCUUUAUAGCUAUGCUUAUGUAAUUGGAUAUUCGAUUGAUGACUUGGAGGGUAUUAUCCCUACCACUUGCAUUGUCUCUUUGGUUGAGUGCUCUUUCAGGUUGUUGCUUGUGCACGAUCCACUACAUGCUGACCAGGUUCGAGGUGACAUUCCUUGGGAUCCUGGUGGAGUCAGAGCAUGGCGAUGA
rnacentral:rRNA from 1 species